rnacentral:antisense_RNA from 1 species
AAUAACCAAAGAUAACUGCUGGACUAAGUGUUGGAUCUGUAAUGAUUCUUACAUCUCCUCCGCCUGGAGCCCAUGUAUCAUAUACACCACCAAAAUAGCAUGCUUUCCAUACUAAUAAAUAUGCACCAACACCUAAAACAAUUAAAUGAAUACCAAGAAUAGUAGUCAUUUUGUUUUUGUCUUUCCA